CCGAGGGGACAGGACGGGCAGAUGCCAACAUGGCAGCGGUUGGGGUUGGCGGAUCUGCCGCUGCGGCUGGGACAGGGGCUGUGGCCCCGGGCGCGUUGGAACCUGGGUCCGCUACAGCGGCUCACCGGCGCCUCAAGUAUAUAUCCUUAGCUGUGCUGGUGGUCCAGAAUGCCUCCCUCAUCCUCAGCAUCCGCUAUGCUCGAACACUGCCUGGGGACCGCUUCUUUGCCACCACUGCUGUGGUCAUGGCUGAAGUGCUCAAAGGUCUCACCUGCCUCCUGCUGCUCUUCGCACAAAAGAGGGGUAAUGUGAAGCACCUGGUCCUCUUCCUCCAUGAAGCUGUCCUGGUACAAUAUGUGGACACACUCAAGCUCGCAGUGCCCUCUCUCAUCUAUACCUUGCAGAAUAACCUCCAGUAUGUUGCCAUUACCAACUUGCCAGCUGCCACUUUCCAGGUGACGUAUCAGCUGAAGAUCCUGACCACAGCGCUGUUCUCCGUGCUGAUGCUGAACCGCACCCUCUCACGCCUGCAGUGGGCCUCCCUGCUGCUGCUCUUCACUGGUGUUGCCAUUGUCCAGGCACAGCAAGCUGGUGGGAGUGGCCCCCGGUCCCUGGAUCAGAACCCAGGGGCAGGCUUAGCAGCCGUUGUGGCCUCCUGUCUCUCCUCAGGCUUCGCUGGUGUCUACUUUGAGAAGAUCCUCAAAGGGAGCUCAGGUUCUGUGUGGCUGCGGAACCUCCAGCUCGGCCUCUUUGGCACAGCACUGGGCCUGGUGGGGCUCUGGUGGGCUGAGGGCACUGCCGUGGCCAGUCAAGGCUUCUUCUUUGGGUACACACCUGCUGUCUGGGGUGUAGUAUUAAACCAAGCCUUUGGUGGGCUCCUGGUGGCUGUUGUUGUCAAGUAUGCUGACAACAUCCUCAAGGGCUUUGCCACCUCCCUGUCCAUUGUGUUGUCCACUGUUGCCUCCAUCCGCCUCUUUGGCUUCCACCUGGACCCCUUAUUUGCCCUGGGCGCUGGGCUCGUCAUUGGUGCCGUCUACCUCUACAGCCUUCCCCGAGGUGCAGUCAAAGCCAUAGCCUCUGCCUCUGCCUCUGCCUCUGGGCCCUGCAUUCACCAGCAGCCUCCUGGGCAGCCACCCCCACCGCAGCUGUCUUCUCGAGGAGAACUCAUCACGGAGCCCUUUCUGCCAAAGUCAGUGCUGGUGAAGUGAGAGCUGCUGCUGGGGGGUGGGGGUGGGGACAGGGCAGGGCGUUGGGUUGGAGGGGGUUAGAAUUCUGCAGGUUCAAAGUUGUUGCCAGGGCCUGACUCUUGUGGGGUCGGAGGGGUUUUUUUCUCCCAUAUUUCUAGAGGAAUAUGGAACUAAGGCUGAAUGUCACAUGAAUGCUCCCUGAGAGAUGGACUCCCCUCUCCUGGAGGAGCUUUGUAGAGCUGCUUCCUCUGCCUCGGGCUAACCUCUUUGGGAACAGGGUUGGGGUACUGCUAUUCCAGGCCUUUCCCCCACGACCCUCUGGUGGAGAUGUCCUGUCUCACAUGCCUGGGACAGUUCAUCCCAGCCAUCCUGCAGACUGGACAAAAGCAGCUCUCCAGUAACGACUAAUGACUACUCGUGGGGUUCCAUUUGCUAUUGUAUGAGGCCUUCUCUCCUGCACCAUCACCCUGGAUCAUGACAACAGCUUGGUCUCUGAUGUGGCUUUGGGACAGUUUCCCUGCUACAGAGACCCUUGAAGAUCAAUCAGCCUGUUGUUGCUCACCAAGGUGAAGGGAUCGUAGCUGCUGGAACAGAAGACACUGGCCUGCCUUCGUUCUCCCUUCUUGCCCUGGCCCAGCUGGGACUAAGCUCUUAUCAGUAUUAGGGGUUAGGUGAGGUAGACAUGGGAGCUCCCUGUCCCCACCAACCCCGCCCCACAUAGGGCUGACAUGACUAACCUCUGUUAAUGGGCCCACCUCAACUCCUGCUAUCUUUACAGUAUUUCUUAGGUGAGUUUCUGCAAAUAAAAUGUGUUUUGCACCUUGUGAAAUUGGGUUGGAAAGCCUGGAAAGAAUGAAGAAAGGAAGCGCUCAAGCC